GGCCAAUUGGCUCAGUCAGUUGAGCGUAGCGCUAACAACGCUAAGGUCACGGGUUUGAUUCCCGUUCGGUCC
rnacentral:tRNA from 1 species